GCACACGCCCGCGCACACACUCUCUCACACACACACAGAGAUUGGAGAGAGACAGGAGAGAGACAUGUUUUCAUCUAUCCUUUGUGGACUUCUGUUGUUUUUACUGCUGUGAAAUUUGACUUGCGAUAUCUGCUUGUAAAACAUCAUCAAAUCCAAAUUCAUUAUAUUCCACUUUUUCUAUUACAUGGUUUCUGCUUCACUGAUUCAUAUCUGUUUUACCUAUUCUGUAAGGGAGGAGAAGCUGCAAAGCAAUGAAGAGAAAAGCUGAAGUCAGUGAUUAGGAGUGUCUGUGUAAGUAAAAGCAACAGGCAAUUACUGAGUGUGGUGUGAGAGGCACGGAAAGAUUGGGAAUUCAGCAAGAAGAGGAAUUGAAGUCAAACCUCACCUACUUCCCAGAGUCUUCUGGAUUUUCUGUUAGAAGCUUCAGUAUCUGAGAUAUUCCUAUGCAUUCUACUGCUUUAAUCCCACCUAAGUAGAGAUGUCCACAACAGAGAGAAUGGAGCUGUCACAUCGUUUCAACUGCCCAGGGGCACACCCAGCUCCAAGAUCACCUUCCCAGGCCUCUCUUGCUAUGACAGAUGCCAUGUGACACAGUUCUAGCCAAUGAGAAGUAACCAGAACACCCUGGCUUCCUGAGGCCUCCCCAGAAACAGACGUCACUAUGCUUUCUACAGGCUGCAGAAUCUUGAGUCAAUUAAACCAAAUAAAUCACCAA
rnacentral:lncRNA from 1 species